rnacentral:lncRNA from 1 species
ACAAACUGAGAAGAAAAAAAAAGAAUUACCCCCAACAACAUCUGAGGAAGCACAACAGGGACAGACUUGAAGGCACCUGGGCAGUCCUCUGGUUUUGGAGUAGAGGCAGCUGACGUCUGGUGAUGAUUCACCACAUCAGGAACACCCUGUCCAGUGGGCUCAGGCAAGCCUGCCAGGCCACUUCUCUAAAGACACCACCUGAGGCCUCCUGCAAUAAAUCUCACAGAGUAUUCUGAACAUAUAUAAAAUCACAAUGGUAAGAAAAAUGAAGACAGGCAAAAGCCACUGGCUCCCAGGUAACUCUAUAUGAUGAAGGGGCUGAUAAUGGACUGACCAAAUCUAGAGAGAAUUCCAGAAGCAAGGACUCAAGAGGUUAAAGGUCCCAGAUCUAGAAAAAGCAGAAACUGCUGAUUGUUCUUUUUUUUGUUGACUGAUUAUACAAUGUGUCCUUUUAAAAAUGGUUCUCUGUUCUCUUUGCAGUUGUUGUAUUG